UUUGGGUGCAGAUUCGUGGA
rnacentral:siRNA from 1 species